GACGAACGCUGGCGGCGUGCUUAACACAUGCAAGUCGAACGGUAAGGCCCUUCGGGGUACACGAGUGGCGAACGGGUGAGUAACACGUGGGUGAUCUGCCCUGCACUUCGGGAUAAGCCUGGGAAACUGGGUCUAAUACCGGAUAGGACCACUGCCUGCAUGGGUGGUGGUGGAAAGCUUUUGCGGUGUGGGAUGGGCCCGCGGCCUAUCAGCUUGUUGGGGGGGUGAUGGCCUACCAAGGCGACGACGGGUAGCCGGCCUGAGAGGGUGACCGGCCACACUGGGACUGGGAUACGGCCCAGACUCCUACGGGAGGCAGCAGUAGGGAAUAUUGCACAAUGGGCGCAAGCCUGAUGCAGCGACGCCGCGUGAGGGAUGACGGCCUUCGGGUUGUAAACCUCUUUCAGCACCGACGAAGCGCAAGUGACGGUAGGUGCAGAAGAAGGACCGGCCAACUACGUGCCAGCCGCCGCGGUAA
rnacentral:rRNA from 1 species